UUAAGCUACUAAGAGCAUAGGGAGAAUGCCUAGGUACCAAAAGCCGAAGAAAGACGUGAUAAGCUGCGAAAAGCCACGGGGAGAAGCAAAUAUUCAAUAAUCCGUGGAUGUCUGAAUGAGGAAACUCUAACCAAGAAAAAAGUUGGUUAAUCCAUACAUGAGUAAAGUAGUGUAUAGGAGGGGAACGUGGGGAACUGAAACAUCUAAGUACCCACAGGAAAAGAAAGAAAACUCGAUUCCUAAAGUAGUGGCGAGCGAAAUAGGAAGAGCCCAAACCAGAAGAAGAAAUUCAUCUGGGGUUCGGACUACAUAAUUGAUUCAAUGAGUUUAGUAAAAUUGUUUGGGAAAGCAAACCAAAGACGGUGAAAGUCCAGUAUACGAAAAACAAGUUGACAAGGUAGAAUCCAGAGUAGUGCGAGACACGUGAAAUCUCGUAUGAAAGAGCGGGGACCACCCCGUAAGGCUAAAUACUAAUUGGUAACCGAUAGUGAAGAAGUACCGUGAGGGAAAGUUGAAAAGAACCCCGGGAGGGGAGUGAAAUAGAACCUGAAACCCUAUGUUUACAAGCAGACAAAGCACGUUAAGGUGCGAUGUCGUACUUUUUGUAGAACGGUCCGGCGAGUUAUUUUAUAUGGCAAGGUUAAGUACUAAAGGUACGGAGCCGAAGAGAAAUCGAGUCUGAAGAGGGCGAAUAAGUCAUAUGAAAUAGACCCGAAACCGGGUGACCUAUCCAUGGUCAGGUUGAAGCUUGAGUAAAAUCAAGUGGAGGACCGAACCCAUAAGCGUUAAAAAGCUUCGGGAUGAACUGUGGAUAGCGGAGAAAUUCCAAUCGAACUCGGAGAUAGCUGGUUCUCCUCGAAAUAGUUUUAGGACUAGCCUUGUUUCGUAGCAUUUGGGGGUAGAGCACUGAAUGAGGUAGGGGCCAACACGGUUACUGAACUCUAUCAAACUACGAAUACCAAAUGUGUAAGAACAAGAGUCAGACUGCGGGAGCUAAGUUCCGUGGUCAAAAGGGAAAGAGCCCAGAUCGUCAAUUAAGGUCCCAAAGAUAUAGUUAAGUGGAAAACGAUGUGAUUUUGCGUAAACAACCAGGAUGUUGGCUUAGAAGCAGCCAUUCAUUUAAAGAGUGCGUAAUAGCUCACUGGUCGAGUGAAGUUGCGCGGAAAAUUACCGGGGCUAAACUAUACACCGAAAUUGCGGAUUUGCAUAGAAAUAUGUAAGUGGUAGAGGAGCAUUCUAUAGUAGGACGAAGCAUAAUCGAAAGGAUAUGUGGACGAGAUAGAAGAGAGAAUGCCGGAAUAAGUAGCGAAAGCAUGGUGAGAAUCCAUGCCAUCGAAAGUCUAAGGUUUCCUGGGGAAGGUUCGUCCGCCCAGGGUAAGUCGGGACCUAAGGAGAGGCCGAAAAGCGUAUCCGAUGGACAGCAGGUAGAAAUUCCUGCACUACGUAAUACUUAAAAGACAUAAAUGACACAGGAGUGGAAGAUAAGCGAGGAAGAGGAAAGACUCGUAUCGAAAGAUAUAGUGAAAAUUAAAGUAACGAAUUAUCAAGAAGCUAAUGGCGAGAAAAGUUUAUGGAUAUUGUAUUAAGUACCCGUACCGCAAACCGACACAGGUAGAUGAGGAGAAGAUCCUAAGAUGAGCGAGAGAAGCAUUGUUAAGGAACUCGGCAAACUGACCCCGUAACUUCGGAAUAAGGGGUGCUGGAGUAGAAUCCAGUCGCAGAGAAUAGUCCCAAGCAACUGUUUAACAAAAACACAGGUUUCUGCUAAAUCGAAAGAUGAAGUAUAGGAGCUGACACCUGCCCAGUGCUGGAAGGUUAAGGGAAAGAGUUAGACGCAAGUCGAAGCUUAGAACUAAAGCCCCAGUGAACGGCGGCCGUAACUAUAACGGUCCUAAGGUAGCGAAAUUCCUUGUCAGGUAAGUUCUGACCCGCACGAAAGGUGUAAUGAUUUGGGAGCUGUCUCGACAAUGUACUCGGCGAAAUUGUAGUACUAGUGAAGAUGCUAGUUACCUGCGACAAGACAGAAAGACCCCAUGGAGCUUUACUGCAGCUUGAUACUGGGUUUCGGUAAUUUAUGUACAGGAUAGGUGGGAUGCUAAGAAGUAUGUGCGCCAGCGCAUAUGGAGCAGACGUUGGGAUACCACCCUUAAAUUACUGGAAUUCUAACUAUAAGUCCUAAGCGGGCUUGAGGACAAUGUCAGGCGGGCAGUUUGACUGGGGCGGUCGCCUCCUAAAGAGUAACGGAGGCGCGCAAAGGUUUCCUCAGCGCGGACAGAAAUCGCGCGAAAGAGUGCAAAGGCAGAAGGAAGCUUAACUGAGAGACAGACAUGUCGACCAGAUACGAAAGUAGGUCUUA
rnacentral:rRNA from 1 species